GACGAACGCUGGCGGCGUGCUUAACACAUGCAAGUCGAACGGAAAGGCCCUGCUUUUGUGGGGUGCUCGAGUGGCGAACGGGUGAGUAACACGUGAGUAACCUGCCCUUGACUUUGGGAUAACUUCAGGAAACUGGGGCUAAUACCGGAUAGGAGCUCCUGCUGCAUGGUGGGGGUUGGAAAGUUUCGGCGGUUGGGGAUGGACUCGCGGCUUAUCAGCUUGUUGGUGGGGUAGUGGCUUACCAAGGCUUUGACGGGUAGCCGGCCUGAGAGGGUGACCGGACACAUUGGGACUGAGAUACGGCCCAGACUCCUACGGGGGGCAGCAGUGGGGAAUAUUGCACAAUGGGCGGAAGCCUGAUGCAGCAACGCCGCGUGCGGGAUGACGGCCUUCGGGUUGUAAACCGCUUUCGCCUGUGACGAAGCGUGAGUGACGGUAAUGGGUAAAGAAGCACCGGCUAACUACGUG
rnacentral:rRNA from 1 species